rnacentral:rRNA from 1 species
CAGUCGAGCGCGAAAGGUUUUCGGACUGAGUAAAGCGGCGGACGGGUGAGUAACGCGUGGGAAUCUGACCAGUAGUGGGGGACAACAGCCGGAAACGGCUGCUAAUACCGCAUACGCCCUACGGGGGAAAGGGGGGGAUCUUCGGACCUCUCGCUAUUGGAUGAGCCCGCGUCGGAUUAGCUAGUUGGUAGGGUAAAGGCCUACCAAGGCUACGAUCCGUAACUGGUCUGAGAGGAUGAUCAGUCACACUGGAACUGAGACACGGUCCAGACUCCUACGGGAGGCAGCAGUGGGGA